rnacentral:rRNA from 1 species
AUACGGAGGGUGCAAGCGUUGUUCGGAAUCACUGGGCGUAAAGGGCGCGCAGGCGGUUUGGUAAGUCAGAUGUGAAAGCCCAUGGCUCAACCAUGGAAGUGCAUUUGAAACUGUCAGACUUGAGUACUAGAGGGGAAAGUGGAAUUCCCGGUGUAGAGGUGAAAUUCGUAGAUAUCGGGAGGAAUACCGGUGGCGAAGGCGACUUUCUGGCUAGAUACUGACGCUGAGGCGCGAAAGCGUGGGGAGCAAACAGGAUUAGAUACCCGUGUAGUCC